GUGCCUGCUUCGGCAGCACAUAUACUAAAAUUGGAAUGGUAUGGAAAAGAUCAGCAUGGCCCUGCACAAGGAUGACACACAAAUUCUUGAAGUAUUCCAUAUUUUU
rnacentral:snRNA from 1 species